GAUUUCAAAUGGAAAUAUGGUCAAAAACAAAGUUGAUCCUCUCAUCAGGAUCUACAACUUUUAUUUUGGUCACUUUUUCAUCUGACAAAGUGAAUUGUUAUACUAUUCACAAUAAUCACAUUUAUCUCAUCUGUUUUAUAAAUAUCAACAUAGAUAUGUCAAUUUUGUAAACAUUGGUACUUUUAUUUUUGUCGGAUGAAGAAGUGACCAAAAUAAAAGUUGUAGAUCCUGAUGAGAGGAUCAACUUUGUUUUUGACCAUAUUUCAAUUUGAAAUC
rnacentral:pre_miRNA from 1 species